rnacentral:rRNA from 1 species
CUACGGGCGGCAGCAGGCGAGAAAACUUUGCAAUGUGCGAAAGCACGACAAGGUUAAUCCGAGUGGUUUCUGCUAAAGGAACCUUUCGACAGUCCUAGAAACACUGUUGAAUAAGGGGUGGGCAAGUUCUGGUGUCAGCCGCCGCGGUAAAACCAGCACCUCAAGUGGUCAGGAUGAUUAUUGGGCCUAAAGCAUCCGUAGCCGGCUCUGUAAGUUUUCGGUUAAAUCUGUACGCUCAACGUACAGGCUGCCGGGAAUACUGCAGAGCUAGGGAGUGGGAGAGGUAGACGGUACUCGGUAGGAAGGGGUAAAAUCCUUUGAUCUAUUGAUGACCACCUGUGGCGAAGGCGGUCUACCAGAACACGUCCGACGGUGAGGGAUGAAAGCUGGGGGAGCAAACCGGAUUAGAUACCCUUGUAGUC